rnacentral:rRNA from 1 species
ACGGGUGAGUAACACGUGGGGAAUCUGCCCUGAACUCUGGGACAAGCCUUGGAAACGAGGUCUAAUACCGGAUACGACCUUCUCCUGCAUGGGGGUUGGUGGAAAGCUCCGGCGGUUCAGGAUGAUCCCGCGGCCUAUCAGCUUGUUGGUGGGGUAAUGGCCUACCAAGGCGACGACGGGUAGCCGGCCUGAGAGGGCGACCGGCCACACUGGGACUGAGACACGGCCCAGACUCCUACGGGAGGCAGCAGUGGGGAAUAUUGCACAAUGGGCGAAAGCCUGAUGCAGCGACGCCGCGUGAGGGAUGACGGCCUUCGGGUUGUAAACCUCUUUCAGCAGGGAAGAAGCGCAAGUGACGGUACCUGCAGAAGAAGCACCGGCUAACUACGUGCCAGCAGCCGCGGUAAUACGUAGGGUGCGAGCGUUGUCCGGAAUUAUUGGGCGUAAAGAGCUCGUAGGCGGCCUGUCGCGUCGGAUGUGAAAGCCCGGGGCUUAACCCCGGGUCUGCAUUCGAUACGGGCAGGCUAGAGUGUGGUAGGGGAGAUCGGAAUUCCUGGUGUAGCGGUGAAAUGCGCAGA